GCUCGAGUAGCUCAGGGGUAGAGCACCGUCUUCACACGGCGGGGGCCGCUGGUUCGAAACCAGCCUCGAGCACCA
rnacentral:tRNA from 1 species